GACGAACGCUGGCGGCGUGCUUAACACAUGCAAGUCGAACGGAAAGGCCCUGCUUGCCGGGUACUCGAGUGGCGAACGGGUGAGUAACACGUGGGUGAUCUGCCCUGCACUUCGGGAUAAGCUUGGGAAACUGGGUCUAAUACCGGAUAGGAACCAUCUUUAGUGUGGUGGUUGGAAAGUUUUUUCGGUGUAGGAUGAGCUCGCGGCCUAUCAGCUUGUUGGUGGGGUAAUGGCCUACCAAGGCGGCGACGGGUAGCCGGCCUGAGAGGGUGUACGGCCACAUUGGGACUGAGAUACGGCCCAGACUCCUACGGGAGGCAGCAGUGGGGAAUAUUGCACAAUGGGCGCAAGCCUGAUGCAGCGACGCCGCGGGGGGGAUGAAGGCCUUCGGGUUGUAAACUCCUUUCGCUAGGGACGAAGCUUUUUGUGACGGUACCUAGAUAAGAAGCACCGGCUAACUACGUG
rnacentral:rRNA from 1 species